rnacentral:rRNA from 1 species
UGGGGAAUAUUGCACAAUGGGCGCAAGCCUGAUGCAGCCAUGCCGCGUGUGUGAAGAAGGCCUUCGGGUUGUAAAGCACUUUCAGCGAGGAGGAAGGGUAGUGUGUUAAUAGCACAUUGCAUUGACGUUACUCGAAGAAGAAGCACCGGCUAACUCCGUGCCAGCAGCCGCGGUAAUACGGAGGGUGCAAGCGUUAAUCGGAAUUACUGGGCGUAAAGCGCACGCAGGCGGUUUGUUAAGUCAGAUGUGAAAUCCCCGCGCUUAACGUGGGAACUGCAUUUGAAACUGGCAAGCUAGAGUCUUGUAGAGGGGGGUAGAAUUCCAGGUGUAGCGGUGAAAUGCGUAGAGAUCUGGAGGAAUACCGGUGGCGAAGGCGGCCCCCUGGACAAAGACUGACGCUCAGGUGCGAAAGCGUGGGGAGCAAACA